GAGCAGAUCCUCUUUCCCAGCACAGCACAGACUUGACUCCACAUCUUUCCAGUAGGUAGGCUGAUUCAAUUCAACAAUGAAUUCUUUGUAAAUCUAUCUUAUAUCAUAGGUACUUAAUAGGAUAUCCUUUUGCUUUUGUUUUUUUGUUUUUUUUUUUUUCAGGAGCAAUUUGUAAUCAACAAGAAGGCAAAAUUCUUUAAAACUCAUCAAAUAUAUUUUUAAGGUAUCUUCAUUUGAAUCAGCCAGUAAGAUACCAUCCAUAUAAUGAAUGACUAAUGCCUCUGAAAAUUUAUUACUUUAUGCCUUAAUUAUGUUUAGUUUUGUACUAGAAGUUAAGCUCACCCAAAUUAUUUUCUCUUUUGAAGGGACCAUUGAUAAUGAAUUAUUCCUGCUAUUCAUGGAAAAACAGAAAAGCAUUUCCCACAAAGGGAAAUUUAAUAUUGAGUUAUUGAAUUAUUCCCUCUAUUAGGGAGAAACACAAAACAUUCAAAUAAAAAUCAAGCAAAGAAACAAGAAAAGUCUAAUCUCUGACCAGCUGUGUUAUCCCAUGCUGCAGCAGCGGAUCCCUGCCCACCAUUCUUGGAAUUCAGGUGCGGCUGCUGUGGGUGGAGCAGAGCAGUUGCUCUGUCAUGGAGCGGCUGCUCUACGGGGAGCACCAGUAGCAGUAAGAGGCAACAAGCAUCUCUCUUGCAGCCAGAGAGCUCUGUUCCAGCUGCCAUCAUUUCCUUUCUUUUCUUUCCUCAUUUAUUGGUAGGGGCCUUUUUACUCCCUCUAUUCCUGUCCUUUGUAACUUGGCACUCCAUUCAGUUCUCUCCCUAUCCAAGUCUGCUUUACCUGAUCUGUCUUGGGGAAGGCAUAGAAAACUGUGACCAUUACCACACAAGUUAAAACUAUCUCCAGGCUGACAGUCCAAACAAAAUUACACAAGGUCCAAACUCCCUCUGCCAUGGUGUCGUCCAUAUUUUAACAUGGAAAAUAUUUUCUGUCUUUAAAAUUUCUCCGAUUCUAUCCUUCCUUCAGAGAUUUCACUUUAUUAUGUUCCAGCUCAAUGAUUAUUUCUAUGACUGUCUCUUUACUUAUUUCCCUUUUAUCGUAUUCAAGUCUUAUAUUUAUUUUUGUACCUACAUUUCUAUAAACUCUAUCUUCUGGGGAUUGCCAGUCCCAAGCAUACUGCACCGGUUUUAGGAAGGCACUCUUUCCUCACAGCAGCAGGGGCUCCUCAGGGUAGCUCGAGGUGAUGACGGGCAGGCUCCAUCCACUCAGCUCACAGUCCAGUGGGCUAUUCCUGUGGGCUCCACCUUCUUCCAGGUUCUGGGCCACAGUCUGCCAGCCCACAGCCAGCCAUAACAGUUUCAUGGUUGCUAGGAAACUAUCACUUCCUUGCAGUUUCCUUGUUUUCUCUGCUUAGUUUUCUGCCCCUCACUGGUGCGCCAAAUAUCAGGGAAGGUAUGAAUAUUACCCAUCAGGAAUAUAAAUAGUGACACAGAAGCUUUUUAAUACUUUAAAGAUUAGGCCUUUAAUUAGGUCAGUUUCCCAGCCAGAUAUCUAGAUUAACCCUACUAAUCUUGCCACUACAUCGCACAAAGUGGCUAGCUCUACCUCUUUGCUCCUCUCUGGUCCAUCCAUUCACCUCUGUGUCUACUGGUGAAUCUCAUCCAUCUCAUUUCUUCUCCCAGUGUCUCUCUGUGUCUCUGUCUCUGUCUCUAUCUCUGUCUUACCCCCAUCCUCCCACUCCUGGUAAAGUUAAGCCCUUCACUUUCUGCCCAGCUACUGGCCGUAAGCUCUUUAUAACAUCCAAUCAGAUACAAUUCUAGAUUGCCUCUAGGCUACUGAGGAAAGAUGAAUACACAAAAUAUGAGGACCAGUGAAGGGUCAUAGAAAUAACACCAACAUCCUGCCAGCUUUUAACUCUGCUGGGACAGAAGUAACAAUAGUGUAUAUGUACAGAGACACACCUGCACACACUGAAGAAUUUUAAAUGUUAAUGUAGUAAAUCUGGCCAAUGUACACAAAGUGACUUCUUCAUACUGAGGACCCUGAAGGGUUUAGUUAGGUGUUUGAAGUAACACCAAAGCCUGAGUUUAGGAACAUGAAUUUUGAGGAGCAAAACCGAUGUAUACAAGAUAAUGUGAAAACUGCUUUAUCUGGGAGAGGUGGAAUUGACAAGAGAAAUAAAAUAGAGAAAUUAGAGAAAGCAUAAAUAUUUUAAAACUUUGUGUUGACUUGUAACACAAAGUUGCUUUGUUACAAGUUGCUUUGGACUUGGAGCUUUAUGUAACUUCCAUUUAAAAUAAGCAUAUCAUAUGCUUGCCAUAUACAAAUGUAUUUUUGCUACAGAUCAAAGAAAAGCAGAGCUGUCUUUCCACAAACGUGUAGUAUAUGCAAAUCAAUAGAUAUUUUGUAAAUAUGCAAAACCAUCUUUUCUAGCUCCCACAGCUUUGGAAUAUAUCAACUGACAGAUCUGAAAACCCAAAUGGGAUGUUAGAUCAACUCCAAAUACACACUAAAUAAUAAUCCCCAUCAACCAAGAAAUAUUGGUCCCAGUAAUUCAAUUGUGUUUCAAUAUCAGGGAAGGUAUGAAUAUUUCCUAAGUAUAAUAGAAAAAAAUUACUUAAUAACACCUAAUCAUUACUAAAUGACAUCUGAAGAUAAAUAACUAAAGAAAAAAAUCCCCUUUUAAAAGAAUAAAGGAGCUAGCAUGAUGGCUCAGUAGCACCUUACCUGCCUGCCUUCACACUGCCAUGCUUCCCACCAUGAUGACAAUGAACUGAACCUCAGAACUUGUAAGCCAGCCACAAUUAAAUGAUUUCCUCUAUAAGAGUUUCCUUGGUCUCUUCACAGCAGUAAAACACAAACGAAGACAGUGAGUGCCCCAUCCUCACUCAUAGAAAAUAAGUGAAUAAAACUGUAAUGACAUAAAAGUUUAAAAGAAUGGAGUUGGUUUUUCUCUCAGUAGUAGGUUUGCCUAACAUACAUGAAUUUCUAGAUUUGAUUUAUCAACAGCACACACAAUACUAAUGUGCUAUAUAUAAAUAUCCUAUACAUGAUGUAAUAUGUAAGUCAAGAACACAACUGUAUUUAAAAGCAUUUUAAACUGUUAUGUAAUACUUUUUAGUGAAAAAACUUCCAAUAACCUCAUUCCCAAAUUUAAAACCAGCAUUUAGGCAGAAAACCAAAGGAAGAAUUAUAAAUGUUAGAAAGUGACGCGUUAUUAAUAUUUAUAGAUAGAAUGAUUGAAUACCUAGGAGAUUUUGAAGGAUUGUGGACAACAUUUGUAAAAUAGGCCUACAUAAAUCAUGUAGACAGUGAAAGGUACAUCAAAAUUCUUUUGGAAAAAAAAAUCUAAGGGUUUAAAGAUGUCAGCACCUUCCUAAAUAAAUUCAUAGGUUUGUCUUUGUGAGUGUGUGUGUAUGUGUGUUUAUGGAAAUUUGCCAACAUGAUUCUGAAGUUCAUUUUCAACAAUAAACACACUGUGGUAGCAAAUAAAAGUUUUUUAAAAAGU
rnacentral:lncRNA from 1 species